rnacentral:rRNA from 1 species
AACGAACGCUGGCGGCAUGCCUAACACAUGCAAGUCGAACGAGACCUUCGGGUCUAGUGGCGCACGGGUGCGUAACGCGUGGGAACCUGCCCUUAGGUUCGGAAUAACUCCCCGAAAGGGGUGCUAAUACCGGAUAAUGUCUUCGGACCAAAGAUUUAUCGCCUUUGGGUGGGCCCGCGUGGGAUUAGCUAGUUGGUAGGGUAAAAGCCUACCAAGGCGACGAUCCAUAGCUGGUCUGCGAGGAUGGUCAGCCACACUGGGACUGGGACACGGCCCAGACUCUUACGGGAGGCAGCAGUGGGUAAUAUUGGACAGUGGGCGAAAGCCUGAUCCAGCAAGGCCGCGUGAGUGAUGAAGGUCUUAGGGUUGUAAAGCUCUUUUACCCGUGAUGAUAAUGACAGUACCGGGAGAAUAAGCUCCGGCUAACUCCGUG